UUUUUUUUUUUUUUUUUUUUUUUUUUUUUUUUUUUUUUUUUCC
rnacentral:ribozyme from 1 species